rnacentral:tRNA from 1 species
UCCCUGGAGGACUAAUGGUUAGGCCACAGCACUCUCACUGCUGUGACCUGGGUUCGAUUCCCGGCCAGGGAA